AACGAACGCUGGCGGCAGGCCUAACACAUGCAAGUCGAGCGAGAAAGAGACUUCGGUCUUGAGUAGAGCGGCGCACGGGUGAGUAACGCGUGGGAACAUACCUUGUAGUAUGGAAUAGCCUCGGGAAACUGGGAUUAAUACCAUAUACGCCCUUAGGGGGAAAGAUUUAUCGCUAUAGGAUUGGCCCGCGUGACAUUAGCUAGUUGGUAGGGUAAUGGCCUACCAAGGCUACGAUGUCUAGCUGGUCUGAGAGGAUGAUCAGCCACACUGGAACUGAGACACGGUCCAGACUCCUACGGGAGGCAGCAGUGAGGAAUAUUCGACGAAUGGGGGAAACCCUGAUCGAGCCAUGCCGCGUGUGUGAUGAAGGCCUUAGGGUUGUAAAGCACUUUCAUUGGUGAAGAUAAUGACGGUAACCAAAGAAGAAGCCCGGCUAACUUCGUG
rnacentral:rRNA from 1 species